rnacentral:rRNA from 1 species
UACGAAGGGGGCUAGCGUUGUUCGGAUUUACUGGGCGUAAAGCGCACGUAGGCGGAUCGUUAAGUCGGGGGUGAAAUCCUGGAGCUCAACUCCAGAACUGCCUUCGAUACUGGCGAUCUUGAGUCCGGAAGAGGUGAGUGGAACUCCCGGUGUAGCGGUGGAAUGCGUAGAGAUCGGGAAGAACACCAGUGGCGAAGGCGACGUGCUGGGUUGCACCUGACGCUGAGAUGCGAAAGCGUGGGGAGCAAACAGG